GAGUAGAGAGACAGCUUAACAUAUCCUGGUACCUUCCUGAAACUGGGAGUGAAAACACACAGGUUAUAUGACUCAAAAUAUGUUAAUUCAAGCAAAAUGAUUUAUACAAUAGAAGAUUAAAAUGCUUGAGGGUGGUGUUAAGAUAUUGGGAUCUCUGAAAGGUUGAGGAACCACUGUGUACCUGUAACUUUGAAACCAGGAAGAUUCUGUGAGAAUUCAAGUCGGACCCUGCCCCUCCGUGGACAUCCCUCCAAUGGCUCUCCGUCAAGCUAAUGUCCUUCCUCUUGCUCUUGAAAGCCUCUCAUGAUCAGCCUUCCAGAAAACAGCCUCAAUUCAACCCAUCAUUUGCUCCCCCAGGGCUUCUGCACCUGUUCUUCCUGCAUUAAAUGCUCUUUGAGUCUGUGUGAGUCAUUCCUCUUCACUUCCUUUGACAUGUAUGAAAUGUUUAUAUUUUCUGCCUUUUACUGGAAAACUUCACCCCCACGCCUACACCCCUUCUAUUUCCCUUCUUUACUUUCUUUUUUUCUUUGUCUCUAGUUCUACUUACUUUCCAGCUUAUGCUAUUUAUGACUGUCUAUUUUUUCCUAUACUGCAAUGUAAGCUCCAGGAGAGCAAUGAGAUUGUCUGAAAUAUCAGCACCUGGAGCACUGAUUGUAUUUUAGGAAUUCGAUAAAUACUUGCAGAAUAAAUGAGGUAGCAAUGAUCAUGUCUUCUGAAGAAGAAAUAAUCAUUAAUAUUCAGUACUCAGUAGGCAUCAAAUCUAUGUUGAGUGCCUUCCAUAGAUAAUCUCAUUUACUCUUAAUAACAAACCUAUAAUAGAUGCUAAUACCGGACCUUGCUUACAGAGGAAGUAAUAGGAUGAUGGGGAGGGGUAAAAUGUGGCAUAGACAUGGUUGUGGGGUAGUUGUGGUUAUCAGAGUCUUCUGAUACCAGUAGUUUUUUCUUUUAAUUUGUGGUUAUAUAGGAAUGAUCUACAAUGUCUGUUGGUUUAUUAUGUUAGAAUAUUAUAUAGUUGUUUGGGCAAAGCAUCAUGAUAGAAUUAUACACAUUAAUCCUAUCAGGAAAUUGAUACGAUUUAAAAAUUAUUUAAAACUACAAUAAACUUUUUCUUUAUUAUUGAGACAGAGUCUCCCUCUGUCCCCCAGGCUGGAGUGCAGUGGCGCGAUCUUGGCUCAUUGCAACCUCUACCUCCCAGGUUCAAGCCAUUCUCGUGCCUCAGCCUCCCGAUUAGCUGGGAUUACAGGUACCCACCACCACACCCAGCUAAUUUUUUUUGUAUUUUUAGUGGAGACGGGGUUUCACCAUGUUGGCCGGGCUGCCUGGCCAACUUGAUCUCAGGUGAUCUGCCUGCCUCAGCUUCCUAAAGUGCUGGGAUUACGGGUGUGAGCCACCGUGCCCGGCCGUCAACUACAAUAAACUUACUUCGCCUUGGCAAUAAACACCAGAGAAAAAUUUAUCUCUCUAAAAAAAGAGAAUUCAACCAAAUUCAGCUUUCUCUCUUAGGAAAUGUUAUUAUGUUACCAUUUUCUCCUGGUGGACCUCAGAAUCCCUAUAUUGAGAGUCAAAAGAAACAUAGGGCAUAGUAAUGACCUUCGUGGUUCUUAGUAUUAUAUUAGUUGAUUUACAAAGAAUAAUUGAAAAAAUAUACCUAUUUCUAGAUUGUAUCAAAAUUAUAUUUGACUCAUUUUAUAACUUUAAAAUGUGCCCAAAUUGAAAAAUAUAGUACAAUAAAGAAUCUAUAUUAUCCAAAGACUUCAUAUCUUUGUAAAUCAUUUUUAUUUUGAUUAUUUUUUCCUGGUAUAUGUUAGUGGUCUUUAUCUCCUCAGGAGUAAAGUAUCUUUUAUUACUCAGAAACUGAGCUCAAAGUGAUGUAGGUACAAUAAUAUUUUAUUUCAAAGGGAAGUGUGCACUCAUAAUUCAUUUUCCUCUGCUGUGGCUUGUAACAAGAAAAGGGAUGAACUUAGAACAGUAGAAGAAAUAUUUUAAAAAACAGCAGUGGGAUUUAAAAAUAACUACUGAGCUGGAUGCCACCUGACCAUGAUGCCUUUUCAGUUUCACACGUGUAUUUGUCAGGGCUUUCCAGAGAAAUGGAACCAAUAGAAUGAAUAUGUAUAUAUCAGGAGACUCAUUAUGGGAACUGGCUCAUACCAUUGUGGGGGCCAAGAAGUCCCAUGAUCUCUGCUGUCUGCAAGCUGGAGAGCCAGGAAAGCUGGUGAUAUAAUUCAGUCCAAGUCUGAGAACCAGAUAGCAAGAGGAGCAGAUGGUGUAAGUCCUGGUCUGAAUCUGAAAGCUUGAGAACCAGAAAUGCCAAUGUCCAAGGGCAAGGGAAAAUGGAUGUCUCAGCUCAAACAGAGAGAGGAAAUUGAGCCUUCCUCUACAUUUUUGUUCGAUCCAGGCCCUCAAUGGAUUGCAGGGCCCAGAUUGGUGACAACCUUACAGUCAUACUCAGAAACAAUAUUUUAAUACCAGCUCUUUGGGCAUCCCUUAGACCAGUCACAAGUCCAUUCCUUGGAAAUCUGGGCAUUCACAUGCAUCUCUUUAAGUCAUGCUCAAUGUCUAAAUAAGGAAAAUAACAAGGUCAAAAUUCCACCCAACAUAAUAUAACUAUCCUGCAUACAACCAAAAAUGCACUAACCCCUUCCUCAGGAGAGGAGGUACAUUCUUUGAGGAAUGGUCACUCUUCUUCUUGAUAUUUCAUAACUUAAAUAAUAUGAAGUAAAAUUCACAGUAGUUAAUUACUGAUAUAGAGUCAAUACAUCUUAUGUUAUGUGAUAAAGAAAUAAGAGAGGAAAGAAAACAGAAAAACUUGCUUAAUAUACAC
rnacentral:lncRNA from 1 species